CGCGUGCAGGAAGACCCCUGAUUCUGGAAGGGGAGUUUCCUGAGAGUAAGACAAGCUCCUGGACACUGGAGAAAGGUGCCCCCCGUUCAACGUGACCUCCAGGACAGGCUGCCCUGGCAGAGAGCACCCGCCUCUUCUCCGGGAGGGCAGCCCCCACUGGCACCAUGGAAGCAACAGGCCUCCCUCCCUGGGCCCCGGGACGGACCUGGCAGAACAGGGAGUGUCACCUGGGCCUUCCGGCACGUGAGCCCAGGUGGCAAGGCUGGACCCAGCGACCUGCUUCUAGUGAACAGAACACGGUCCAAGUGGCGCUGUCCCUUCUGAGAGCCGGUCCCAGGGCACCGCGGCCUCAUGCCGCUGACAUUCACUGGCUCUCCGCAGCCCAGGAGGCCCCCGGGGCAGCGGGAUCUGGCCCUUCGCAGGUCAGGCCCCGCUGAUGCCUCAUGGAGACCCCGAGCCUGGCCCGCCCGCCGAGCACACCGGCUCCUCACCACAGAGGCUGGGAGAUCGUGGGUCUUGGGGUGUAAGCCCCCCAGCUGGGGGUGACUUGUUACAGAGCAACAGGUAAGUGCGGCAGGGCUGUGGAGUGAAGGAGUUUAAAAAAAGCAGAAAUGGCUGGAUGGCUGGACAGUCAGCGCCCGGCUUCCAGCUCCGUGCUCCGCGGACCUUCAGGCCAGGCCUCACUCUAGUCUCCAGUGUCCACCGAGCACAGGCGUCGUGACUCCUGACACAGGGCAGCCCGCACACGCCGUUACCCCCUCCAGCCGUCUCAGAGCCUCACAGCCCAGUCUGGGGUCAGAGCCGUCCAGGGGGAGGAGACCGCCACCCGCAGAGCCCCGGCACCAGCCCCGGAGACUGACGCAGGCCAGGCCUUCUGGGUCCUAAUGACCUGGGGCAGGGGCUCGGCGGGAGGAUGACCCCUGGCAGACCGGAUGCCACACCCGCCAGCCCAGCCCCGCCCUACAAAUUCUCGGUCCCAUCAAAGCCACUGCUCCUGCAGCCUGCUCCCUCUCCCGGGAGGGCUCUUCUAGAACCUCCCCCCCCGUUGCGGCUCUACGUGUAUCUCUAGGUUCAAAGUUUGCCUCUUCUGCAGCCCUGAGCUUUUGGGUUAAUAACCUAAACUGGCAGAGCCUCAGUUUGUCCCUCGGGUAUAAAAUGAGCCUAAUAAUGUCACCAGAGAUGAUGGAGGGACGUCCCACCCCUGAUGGGCCUGGUUGGGGGGAGGGGGCUGUGUGGAAGCCCCUGGAAGGUCCCAACCCUGCGACGAAAAUGAGAUUUCACUUACGUCCUCUGUUUUACAAAGGAUGUGAGGUGCCUUUUAAAACUACACACGGGGUGAUAAGAUAAUGUAAUGGCUGAGAAAAUAAGGGUAAAUACGCUGAGUAGACACGUGCUUAGAGAAAUACAAGUCUGAGUAACUUUGCUGUCAUAGAUCGGCUCGCUCCCCACGGCUCUGCGGCACCUGGGCACCCAGACCUGAGAAAUCACGCAGCCCAGGCCCUUAUUCCAAGAGGGGGAGAUGGGCCCAGGCCACCCAACCACACGUCUGAUUAGUGGCAAAGCUCCCGCUGGACCACACCCCGUGUCCCUUAGGCUGGAGGCCCCUUGAUGCUCCUGGCUCAUUUCAAGGCAUCGCUUUAGGUGAAUGUGUUCAGCAUUGGUUCAGGUGUAAUUUCUGGCUAAAUAAAUAACUUGGGGCUCAGCAAAUACAAGGUUGUGGCUGUACCUUCUCCUCGGCCGGUCUGGGCACGUGGGGUUCCUGGGUGCGCAGCCGUGCCGUGUGAUGGGGAGUGCCACCGUUCACUCCCUUCGCAGCAAAGCCAGGUUGGAGGGUUAGGACAGAAUUUCCCACAAGGGAGGUCCAGACGGGAAGCGGGAAGGCCUGGACCCAGCCCCAAGGAGAUAGAAGGGUGGGCGCUGUGGCCUGUGUGUCCCCCAGAUUCACAUGCUGAAACACGCCCCCCAGGGCAGAGCCCUCACAGUGGGGUUGGUGCCCUUAGAAAAGAGACCCCAGAGCCCUCCCUGUCCCUCGCGCCAGGAGGGGGCACAGUGAGAGCCCUGCAACCUGGACGGGGCCUACCCCGGCCCCUGGCACCCUGGUCUCGCAUCUCCCACCCCCAGAACUGUGGUUUGUAAGCUGCCCAGUCUGUGGGUUUUGUUACAGCCGCCUGAACGGACUGAUGG